rnacentral:rRNA from 1 species
GCAAGGAUCCCUAGUAGCGGCGAGCGAGCGGGAAGAGCUCAAAUUUAUAAUCUGGCACCUUCGGUGUCCGAGUUGUAAUCUCUAGAAAUGUUUUCCGCGUUGGACCGCACACAAGUCUGUUGGAAUACAGCGGCAUAGUGGUGAGACCCCCGUAUAUGGUGCGGACGCCCAGCGCUUUGUGAUACAUUUUCGAAGAGUCGAGUUGUUUGGGAAUGCAGCUCAAAUUGGGUGGUAAAUUCCAUCUAAAGCUAAAUAUUGGCGAGAGACCGAUAGCGAACAAGUACCGUGAGGGAAAGAUGAAAAGCACUUUGGAAAGAGAGUUAACAGUACGUGAAAUUGUUGGAAGGGAAACGCUUGAAGUCAGACUUGCUUGCUGAGCAAUCGGUUUGCAGGCCAGCAUCAGUUUUCCGGGAUGGAUAAUGGUAGAGAGAAGGUAGCAGUUUCGGCUGUGUUAUAGCUCUCUGCUGGAUACAUCUUGGGGGACUGAGGAACGCAGUGUGCCUUUGGCGGGGGUUUCGACCUCUUCACACUUAGGAUGCUGGUGGAAUGGCUUUAAACGAC